UUUCUGGCCAUAUUUGGACGGGAUAAUAUCGCCGGCAGGAAUCUUCUUCCUUUUCUUGCCUCUUACCUCCCAUUUUUCACCCCUAUCUCCCUGGAUUAUAUAUAUAGUCGCCGCCUGGCAUGUGUUUGCAUCUAACGCAGAAGAAAGCUGUCUUCCUCAAGCACCCUGUCGGUCACUCCUUCAUCUCCGCUUUACACUUCUAAACUAGCUGUCAGCGCUCCGGCAGCUUGUUUGGAAUAGAGGGAUCGCCCCACGUUCCCAAGGAGGAUAUUCACGUCUGAUGCGCGAUGCCGAUAGAGAGAUCGGGGGCCUGGACUCAAGAGCGACAAGCGUUUGCCCCUGCUCUAAUCGCAGCCUCUCCGUCUGCCAUCCAUCCCUUUUGUCCGGAAUCCUUCCCCCCUCUUCUUCGCCCCCUAUCCAUCCCCUCUUGCUUACCCCCUAGACACAACACUCAACCUCCCCUCCGUCGUCACUGUCGACGAUCUUGUAUAUAUUCUUGGACCUGCCUGGCUCUUGUUCGGCUGUUGUCGAGCGCCUGUCGGGAUGGUCGUCGUGACGACAACCUUUUCUGUUGUUGCAACCAUCAUCAUCUUUUCCAUCGUUCUAUCCAUCUUGAUCUUUUCGUUCAUCCUCCUUUCCGGUCAUCAUGCGAGGGAGGCCCUCAACAUCAACUCUUUCAAGCUUCGGUCCUCCUCGGUGCAAGAUAACGGUGAAAAUCAGCCGUCAACGAGCGGUUUCCAUGGAAACAACAUAGCUUCCCCUCCCAAUCCAAAGGUGAGUCUAUUUAAGACAUUUCCACUAUCAAGAUAUUUGCCCAAUCAAGCGUUAUUGGCUACAUAGCAUCGAUAAUUGUCUUCGGGAGUAUUUCAAGAAUUUAGUUGCAAACAAUUGCAAAUUUCUGUUGGGAUUUUGAAAUGGGUUGAUCAAUUUUAGCUUUAGAAAAUCAGUUUAUGCUUCUUGUUGAAAGAAGCAAGUGAGGUUAGCAAUUAAAUCAAAUUUGCCACUUAUUGCAAUUCAUAUU